rnacentral:tRNA from 1 species
UGAAAUAGCUCAGUCGGUAGAGCACUUCACUCGUAAUGAAGGGGUCGUGGGUUCGAAUCCCAUUUUCA